rnacentral:rRNA from 1 species
AUGAGUAACACAAGCAUCUCCAUCAUGAACUAGAACAUCCGUGGCCUGAAUUCUCCGGCCAAGAGAGCCACCAUCUGCGAGAUUGCCAACGCUCAUAGUCUAGAUCUUCUCUGCGUGCAAGAGACCAACAUCGAUGCCUGGACACCAAAAAUCAUAAGAGAGAUCGGAGGCAGCCACCUUGACAACUGCGUUGUGCUCCCGGUGGUGGGCACUCGUGGUGGGGCAGCAAUCUUCUGGGACUCCUCCAAAGUCACCGUGGCCACGCAAGCGGUCAGGAAGUUCUCCAUCACCGCCAAUGCUUCCCUGCUACAAAACAACAUCUCUUUUUGGAUAACAACUGUGUAUGGCCCAGCUGAUGACGCCAGGAAAGAUGAGUUCCAUGACGAGAUGAUUAGAAUCAGGCCACCCAAGGUGAACCAUGGUUGA